CAUGCAAGUCGGACGGUAACAGGGAUUGCUUGCAAUCCGCUGACGAGUGGCGCACGGGUGCGCAACGCGUAUAGAACCUACCCUUUACAGGGGGAUAGCCCAGAGAAAUUUGGAUUAAUACCCCGUAGUACCUAUUAGAGGCAUUUCUAAUAGGUUAUAGUUUUCGAACGGUAAAGGAUGGCUAUGCGUCUUAUUAGCUAGUAGGUAAGGUAACGGCUUACCUAGGCUACGAUAAGUAGGGGCCCUGAGAGGGGGAUCCCCCACACUGGUACUGAGACACGGACCAGACUCCUACGGGAGGCAGCAGUGAGGAAUAUUGGACAAUGGGCGGAAGCCUGAUCCAGCCAUGCCGCGUGCAGGAAGACGGCCCUAUGGGUUGUAAACUGCUUUUAUACGGGAAGAAUAAGGGAUACGUGUAUCCUGGUGACGGUACCGUAAGAAUAAGGACCGGCUAACUCCGUGCCAGCAGCCGCGGUAAUACGGAGGGUCCGAGCGUUAUCCGGAAUUAUUGGGUUUAAAGGGUCCGCAGGCGGGCAAUUAAGUCAGAGGUGAAAUGGUGCGGCUCAACCGUAGCACUGCCUUUGAUACUGGUUGUCUUGAGUCAUGGUGGAGUGGCCGGAAUAUGUAGUGUAGCGGUGAAAUGCAUAGAUAUUACAUAGAACACCGAUCGCGAAGGCAGGUCACUAACCAUGUACUGACGCUGAUGGACGAAAGCGUGGGGAGCGAACGGGAUUAGAUACCCCGGUAGUCCACGCCGUAAACGAUGGAUACUAGCUGUCCGCUGCCUUGAGCAGUGGGCGGCCAAGCGAAAGUGAUAAGUAUCCCACCUGGGGAGUACGUUCGCAAGAAUGAAACUCAAAGGAAUUGACGGGGGCCCGCACAAGCGGUGGAGCAUGUGGUUUAAUUCGAUGAUACGCGAGGAACCUUACCAGGGCUUAAAUGCAGAAUGACAGGUUUAGAGAUAGACUUUUCUUCGGACAUUUUGCAAGGUGCUGCAUGG
rnacentral:rRNA from 1 species